rnacentral:rRNA from 1 species
CGCAGCGAAAUGCGAUAAGUAAUGUGAAUUGCAGAAUUCAGUGAAUCAUCGAAUCUUUGAACGCACAUUGCGCCCCUUGGUAUUCCGAGGGGCAUGCCUGUUCGAGCGUCAUUACACCACUCAAGCUAUGCUUGGUAUUGGGUGCCGUCCUUAGUUGGGCGCGCCUUAAAGACCUCGGCGAGGCCUCACCGGCUUUAGGCGUAGUAGAAUUUAUUCGAACGUCUGUCAAAGGAGAGGACUUCUGCCGACUGAAACCUUUAUUUUUCUAGGUUGACCUCGGAUCAGGUAGGGAUACCCGCUGAACUUAAGCAUAUCAAUAAGCGGAGGA